CGCAUCUUGCACUCUCUGGUAUUCCGGAGAGUAUGCCUGUUCGAGUGUCGUGAAGUUCUCAAGACUCGUUUUUUCUCGAGUCUUGGAGUUGGGGCCUGUCGGCGUGAGUCGACUGCUCUGAAAUGCAUUAGCCAUGGCGAACACGAUCGGCUUGAGUGUAAUAAAUCUUUUAUAUGCACGACGGUCCGAGAGUACACACCGGGCUCACAAAAACCCUUACUUUUUCACCUUUGACCUCGAAUCAGGUAGGAUUACCCGCUGAACUUAA
rnacentral:misc_RNA from 1 species